GACGAACGCUGGCGGCGUGCUUAACACAUGCAAGUCGAACGGAAAGGCCCUUCGGGGUACUCGAGUGGCGAACGGGUGAGUAACACGUGGGUGAUCUGCCCUGCACUUUGGGAUAAGCCUGGGAAACUGGGUCUAAUACCGAAUAGGACCACGCGCCUCAUGGUGUGUGGUGGAAAGCUUUUGCGGUGUGGGAUGGGCCCGCGGCCUAUCAGCUUGUUGGUGGGGUAAUGGCCUACCAAGGCGACGACGGGUAGCCGGCCUGAGAGGGUGACCGGCCACACUGGGACUGAGAUACGGCCCAGACUCCUACGGGAGGCAGCAGUGGGGAAUAUUGCACAAUGGGCGCAAGCCUGAUGCAGCGACGCCGCGUGAGGGAUGACGGCCUUCGGGUUGUAAACCUCUUUCAAUAGGGACGAAGCGCAAGUGACGGUACCUAUAGAAGAAGCACCGGCCAACUACGUG
rnacentral:rRNA from 1 species